rnacentral:lncRNA from 1 species
GUUGCCUUCCGAGUUGUCCUCUGUUCAUCCAAUAUUCCAUUCUCCAUGCUUAGAAAGCAUAUUAGCGAUGCUGUGGUAGUGGAUUCCCCUGUGAGUGCUGACAUUCAAGAAAAUCUUUCUUUUGAUGUGAUUCCAUUGAGAUUCUUGAUUUCAGUGUCCGAAGACUAAGGAACAAAGAAGUUCCCUUGGUCAAGGUGUUAUGGCGAAACCAAUCAAUUGAGGGUG